UACAGAGGGGGCAAGCGUUGUUCGGAAUUACUGGGCGUAAAGGCGCGUAGGCGGCCUUCUAAGUCGAACGUGAAAUCCCCGGGCUCAACCCGGGAACUGCGUCCGAUACUGGAAGGCUUGAAUCCGGGAGAGGGAUGCGGAAUUCCAGGUGUAGCGGUGAAAUGCGUAGAUAUCUGGAGGAACACCGGUGGCGAAGGCGGCAUCCUGGACCGGCAUUGACGCUGACGGCGCGGAAAGCCAGGGGAGCAA
rnacentral:rRNA from 1 species